AUUGAACGCUGGCGGAAUGCUUUACACAUGCAAGUCGAACGGCAGCACGGACUUCGGUCUGGUGGCGAGUGGCGAACGGGUGAGUAAUGUAUCGGAACGUGCCCAGUCGCGGGGGAUAACGCAGUGAAAAUUACGCUAAUACCGCAUCCGAUCUAUGGAUGAACGCGGGGGAUCGCCAGACCUCGCGCGAUUGGAGCGGCCGAUUUACGAUUAGGUAGUUGGGGGGGUAAAGGCCCACCAAGCCAACGAUCUGUAGCUGGUCUGAGAGGACGACCAGCCACACUGGAACUGAGACACGGUCCAGAGUCCUACGGGAGGCAGCAGUGGGGAAUUUUGGACAAUGGGCGAAAGCCUGAUCCAGCCAUUCCGCGUGCAGGAUGAAGGCCCUCGGGUUGUAAACUGCUUUUGUACAGAACGAAAAGGUUUCUACUAAUACUAGGAGCUCAUGACGGUACUGUAAGAAUAAGCACCGGCUAACUACGUGCCAGCCGCCGCCGUAA
rnacentral:rRNA from 1 species